CAGCACGAGAGGAAGGUAUGGAACCGACACACAGCAUGAGAGGAAGGUAUGGAACCGACACACAGCAUGAGAGGAAGGUAUGGAACCGACACACAGCAUGAGAGGAAGGUAUGGAACCGACACACAGCAUGAGAGGAAGGUAUGGAACCGACACACAGCAUGAGAGGAAGGUAUGGAACCGACACACAGCAUGAGAGGAAGGUAUGGAACCGACACACAGCAUGAGAGGAAGGUAUGGAACCGACACACAGCAUGAGAGGAAGGUAUGGAACCGACACACAGCAUGAGAGGAAGGUAUGGAUGCUGGAGGGGAACAAGGGUUCAAAACUAAACUGAUAAUGAGUUAAGAAUCUCAAUAACC